rnacentral:rRNA from 1 species
UACGUAGGGUGCAAGCGUUGUCCGGAAUUAUUGGGCGUAAAGAGCUCGUAGGCGGUUCGUCGCGUCGGCUGUGAAAUCCCGGGGCUCAACCCCGGGCCUGCAGUGGAUACGGGCUGGCUAGAGGCAGGCAGGGGAGAACGGAAUUCCUGGUGUAGCGGUGAAAUGCGCAGAUAUCAGGAGGAACACCGGUGGCGAAGGCGGUUCUCUGGGCCUGUACUGACGCUGAGGAGCGAAAGCGUGGGGAGCGAACAGG